GCUGCUCUGGCCGGUAGGUGUUCACCAUGCGCGUCCCACGGGGAGACCGAAGACCGCAGAACGCAGACAGCUGUCACAACGCAACAGAACCAGAGCAGAGCGGGUAUAUCAACGCACACAACGGACACACGACGCGGAACGGGGGUUUCAAACAGCGUCCACACGACGGACUCGUCACAGUGCGGCGUGGUGAGCGAGCCCUGGUAACGGAAGUAGUGUUCGAGAGUCUCCUCCGGUGGCACUAGCCGGCCCAGUGACACGCCGCCAAGCGUGCUGUUGCUCGCUUAAUUAGGGAGAAACAUUAACCCGCUAUCAGCACGGAUCCGGUUCAAAGGGACGCUCUGGAUAACAGCUGGAUAACACCACUGUUGUCCGGAUAACACCACUGUUAUCAAACGGCAAAGGUGAUUUAGUCUACGACGUUGAUUGAAGGUCUUUCAGGGCCGAUAUGAUGGGUUCGUAUUGCUUAUUCGGAGUGGGAGAUUCCUGGAAAUGCAAAGAAACAUGGGAGACAAACACGUAAGCCUGUACAGAGUUAUGUUAGGCCUACCUGAAAGAAAAACCCAAGAACUGCCACGCCUGUGUCGUCUGCCACAGCUUGGUCCAAAGUAUCAUAUUCUUCCUUUAUAUGGACAAUGUGCAUCUGCAAUUGCCGUUAACAUACACAGUUCAAUGCUAAUUCAUAUUACCAUAUGCAGAAGUUAUCUUUAUAACCUAGUGCUAUACAUUUUAGAGUGAAUCGACUCUGAUUGAUUUUGGUCACCUCCAUGGGGAACCGUUCUCCAUCAAUAGUAUGCUCGGACCCUGGGCCUCCAUCUUUCCCCCAGUGGAAGUGGAGCUGCAAGGCCUUAUAUGGCCCUGCCAGCUUUCCGCCUUGGAUCUUUACAUUUGAGGGUAGAUCUAGUUGAACUUGGAUCAAAAACAUCAAUACGUACAUAAAGUCGUGGAUUACUAUAUCUUUCAUAGUGAGUUAUCUAAAAGUUCAUCCGCAUUUCUUUUGAUCAUUUUUUAUGACUUCCAUGGUCAAUGUAUAAUGUUAGAUGACAAUAACGUAUUGUAAUAGAAACUGAGAUUUUCAGUUAAUUCGUUUUUUUUCGGCAAAUAAAAUGAUAUGCAGUAGCAAAACAAGGCUACUAUAUAAGUCAAAAUCUAUAAUAAAGACAUUGUAUAUAAUAUUAAAUAUUUUUUUUCUUCUGCAAUUAAAAUACUUCUAAACACAAACCGGUAUGUCCGUUGUUUAUGAUGCGACCUCUGAAAAUUUUCUGAUAGUUGAUGAGUUGUAACGGAACC